rnacentral:rRNA from 1 species
CCUCGGGGGGCUGCAGUAAGGAAUAUUGCGCAAUGGAGGCAACUCUGACGCAGCCAUGCCGCGUGCAGGAAGAAGGCCUUAUGGGUCGUAAACUGCUUUUAUUUAGGAAUAAACCCCCGAACGUGUUCGGGGCUGAAGGUACUAAACGAAUAAGCACCGGCUAACUCCGUGCCAGCAGCCGCGGUAAUACGGAGGGUGCAAGCGUUAUCCGGAUUUAUUGGGUUUAAAGGGUGCGCAGGCGGGCUAUUAAGUCAGUGGUGAAAUCCCGGGGCUCAACUCCGGAACUGCCAUUGAUACUGAUAGUCUUGAGUUUGGUUGAAGUGGGCGGAAUGUAGCAUGUAGCGGUGAAAUGCAUAGAUAUGCUACAGAACACCAAUCGCGAAGGCAGCUCACUAAGCCAAAACUGACGCUCAUGCACGAAAGCGUGGGGAUCAAACAGGAUUAGAUACCCCCGUAGUC